rnacentral:sRNA from 1 species
AAUCUGGGGCAGCAAUGUGCUCAGGGAGCGUUCCCCAGGAGAAGAGCUAAGACUGAUCGAAAGCAACCUGAGCCGCCCUGCUCACCUUGUCUACGAUCACCUGGCAGCAGAGGGUGGGCCUGUGACCCAGAUCUGGUAGGUGGGGCCUGAGAGGAAGUGGACUGGAGGUUUAGGUGCCUCCUCCCCAGGGAGAUGAAGACAUUCAAGAGACGGAAAGUCGCUCCUGCGCUUCCUCCCUGGAGGCUGUCUGGAGAGGAUAUGAUCGAUCCUCCCAUCUGUGGCAGUCAUAGAAGAACAGGAGAAAGGCAGGUAAAGUAUAGAAAAGCUACCUUGAGUCCCAGCAUCGCUGAGCUGCUGAAUUAGCAAGCCUGGGUCCACCUACUACCAGUUUCUUGUUUGCAAAAUAAUGAAUUGUCCUUAUUGUCUGCACUCAUUUCAGUUGGGCACUCUCAUAUUUUGUAACCAAAGGCAUCUUACCUAUUGCAGCAAAGAAGAAAUAAAGAACUACGAUUUUUCUAUCA